rnacentral:rRNA from 1 species
AACGAACGCUGGCGGCAUGCCUAACACAUGCAAGUCGAACGAGACCUUCGGGUCUAGUGGCGCACGGGUGCGUAACGCGUGGGAACCUGCCCUUAGGUUCGGAAUAACUCCCCGAAAGGGGUGCUAAUACCGGAUAAUGUCUUCGGACCAAAGAUUUAUCGCCUUUGGAUGGGCCCGCGUUGGAUUAGCUAGUUGGUAGGGUAAAAGCCUACCAAGGCGACGAUCCAUAGCUGGUCUGAGAGGAUGAUCAGCCACACUGGGACUGAGACACGGCCCAGACCCUUGGGGGAGGAGGAGGUGGGGAAUAUUGGACAAGGGGAGAAGGCUGAACCCCCCAGGGCCGGGGGAGUGAGGAGGGCGUGGGGGUUGAAAGUCUUUUUUACCGGGGAAGAUAAUGACAGUACGGGAAAAAAAAGCCCCGGCUAACUCCGUG